rnacentral:rRNA from 1 species
AACGAACGCUGGCGGCGUGCCUAACACAUGCAAGUCGAGCGCGAAAAGGGCAACCUGAGUAGAGCGGCGCACGGGUGCGUAACACGUGGGUAAUCUGCCUUAGAGUCGAGGAUAACCUUCCGAAAGGUUGGCUAAUACUCGGUAAGCUUACGGUGUCUUCGGACGCUGUGGGAAAAGUAGGCCUCUGUUUACAAGCUUACGCUCUGAGAUGAGCCCGCGGCCCAUCAGCUAGUUGGCGGUGUAACGGACCACCAAGGCAACGACGGGUAGCUGGUCUGAGAGGACGAUCAGCCACACAGGAACUGAGACACGGUCCAGACUCCUACGGGAGGCAGCAGUGGGGAAUUUUCCACAAUGGGCGAAAGCCUGAUGGAGCAACGCCGCGUGUGUGAUGAAGGUUUUCGGAUCGUAAAGCACUUUCGACUGGGACGAAAAACCUUUGGCUAACAUCCAAGGGCCUGACGGUACCAGGAGAAGAAGCACCGGCUAACUCUGUGCCAGCCGCCGCCGUAACAC